AAUCCGAAGCAGGCUCCAGGUUCCGAGCUGUCAGCACAGAGCCCGAAUGCAGGGCUCGAACUCACGAGCCAUGAGAUCAUGACCUGAGCUGAAGUCGGACACUUAACUGCUUAACCACCUGAGCCCGCCAGGCACCCCUGGGGCUAGUUUCCCAAAGGGAGUGCUGGAGGAGGCAGAGCAGGGAUGUGACUAUCCUCUGACCAGACACCUCCUGUGCACUGAGCGCUGUUUUAGGAACACUUGGAGAUCCCCUAAGGGACAACAAACACUGUCCCGCCCUUCAGGGAGCCUGCUUUCUAUGGAUGGUGGCAGCAAAUUAACCGAGAAUUACAGUCCAAGCUGUUGAGUGCCGUGGCAAGGAGCAUGUAGGUUGCCCUUGUCUCCAAUAUCAGGGGGGUGCACCUGGGGACCUGUCAGCCCUCCCCUGACACAGGGGAGGGCUCUGGAACCCCGCUGCCUGAAUCUCUGCUAUGGCUUGACCGCUUCGCAGCUGGGUGAUCCCCACUCCUGGCUUCAGUUUCCUCAAUGAUGGUAAAACAGACUGAUAAUAGCCGGAUCUGCUGCGGAGGUUUAUGGUGAGGAUGAAAUCCGUUAAAACAUGUGACACGUUGAGGCAGAGACUGACACAUAAGAAGUCCUGGAUUAAGCACUGCCAAACUUCCCUGGCGCUCACUCUGGGCCAGACGCAGAAACAGCCUUAGGAAGCAGGUAAUACUGUCAUCGGCGCGUUUACAGUGAGGAAACAGAAGCACAGUGAGGUGGGGUGGCCUCCUCAGUCACAUGGCUAAAGGUGGUUACUUUCUUUUUCUCCUCUCUACUCUGUCAGUGAAGGAGGGAUUUCUACUCUCAAGUUAUGGGGAUGGCCCACGCGAUGCUGGACAGAUGGACACACAGCAGUUUAUUUGUCAGUGCUUCUCACGGCUCCAGGGUAGAGGACACCGCUUGCCUUGCGGGACCACACGGGUGUUUUUAGGACAGAGGGGACGGGCGGGGUUUGUAGUAACAAGAGGGCGGGGUGCCCCCUGGUUCCCGUGGGGGGACGCGGCUGGCUUGUUUGAGUUGUUCCGUGAGCUGGCAGGGAACUGAACCCCACCGCCCUGGGACAAGCAGGCGUUCUGUCUGUUCCCGUGAUAAGAAGUGAUGUUUGGCUGGGGAACCUUAUCUGCAAGAGUAACUUGGGGAAGAGAGUGUGUGGUUAGGCCGUUUGAAGCCCUCCGGAUUGUAUCAAAUGUCAAGGCGGCACUUAAUACUGAACCCCAAUUUCAGGCCUUAUGGCACAGUGAUCUGGUGGGCUUUAGGACCCAGGCAGUGUGGAUCUAGGAUCAUGUCUGUCUAUACUGCUCUGCAUUACCUAAACCUGAAACAGAAUGGUUGUUCCCUCAUCAUCUCUAUGCUAUUAUUCACGCCCGCAUCUCUGCCUGGAAUUUCCUCUUGAUUCUCAAGCACCUCCUAUUGAAAUCCUCUCUGUUCCCCCAAGCCCACCUCAAAUGCCACUCACUAUAGGAAGUUCUUUCUCUUAUCCAGAUAGGGCCCCUCCUUCAUUUCCAGGUAGCGCUGUAGAGCGGAAGGGACAUAGUCUUUGAAACCAGAAAAAUCAUGGCUGAGUCUCUGGCUUUGCUACUUAUUUUGCUACAUGAUCUGGGGGAACAAAUUGGACUGAGUUAGCCUUGGUUUGCCCAUUUCUCAAAUGAGGGUGAUAACUCUCGUUGAAAUGGUACUGUGAGAUUAUCUGUGAAAGUGGGUACAAAAUGCUGAGUAUUUAGAAGGCGCAUGAUAAAUACAAAUUUCCUUCUCUUGAAUCAUUUCAUAUUUCUACCAAUGCCUGGAUUAUUGUGCUUCCUACUCCAACUAUUUGCAUAUUUGUUUUGCUUACUCUCUACCAGGCCAUAUGCUUGGAGAUGGUUGAUAAUUUCCACUUUUCUCCUUUUUGUCCUUGUCCAGACUCUUCAGGGCUCACCAUCACUCUCCACAUGGUGGAUAUUUUUUAUCAACAGUAGAAGGAACUCUCAGCAUAUUCUGCUCUAGAAAUCAGCAGGCCUGUCUAGGACAAUACCAUGCUGUGCUUCUAAGGAAACACAGUUGCUUGAACUGCUAAUAAAGCCUUUUUCCUGAAGUAAACAUAGUUGGCGGAGAUAGCCCAAUGAUAUCAAUUUAUAUUGCAUGAAAGUGAUAUAUACAAUCCCGACGUGAGGUUGAAUGAGGGGUACAGUUUUCAAAACCUGAAGAGGGACAGGAUGUCAAGAAAGAGAAAAAAAUAGGUGUCAAAAGACGACACUUGGAGCUUCUAAGGCAAAUGUUGCUCUUUUAUAAUUUUUAGCAUAUAGAUUUGGAAAUGGGGAGGAAAUAAAUAUUUGUGCCGUUUGCCUGUAAAAUGUGUAAGGAAGAGAGACGAAAUUGCCGCGGGAAAGAAAUGUGUCAGUUUCCUAAGCAUUUCACAAGAAUUGUGCCUCCUUGUCUGUUCCUCGUGAAUGUAUUUGAUGGAGUACUGGAUGUAUGGAUUGGUAAGGACAAUGGAAGGUGGAAGUCAGUGGUUUACUAUUUCUUUUUCUCACUCAUCCCAGAUAAAUUGACUUGGUGUAAACAAGGCAUCUCACUUUUGUUUGUUUGUUUGUUUGUUUGUUUUUUUUAGGGUUUUUAGUUUGUUUCUUUUUUGAUGAAUAAAAUGAGAGGGACAGCGUUGGCCUCUGUCACAACGAAUCUAAGAAGUUUGACCAAAGUGAGCACCUAGUUUUGAGGUCAUCAAAUGCUUGUUUCCAAAUAGGCCCCAAGGGAGAAGGAAAUCUUUUUCUGUGAUUCUAGAGCUUCUGGUGUAGGGGGAGGUGAGCAUCACCUGGGCAGCUACAUUUCUUGGUCAGCAACGCACUGGCUCCCUGUUAUGUGACGCUAACUGUUUUGGAGCCUUAAGAAAUCUCAGCUGUCAAGAAAACUCCACAAUUGCAAGUAAGUACGGAAGUCUGAAGGAACUGAAACUGUUUCCAGAGUCCAUUGACUCCUGACCAGCCAGGGUAUCAUUUCUACCGUGUGAGACGUGCAUUUGCUCUGUGUAUGGGCUUUGGGUGUAAUCUGUCCAGUUUUUCUACCCAACACUUAUAUAGGUUAUCAGUUACAGAUUCCUCUCAAAAAAUUGAAUAUACUUUAGAAAUUGCUGAAGCCACCUGAAACCUUUUUUUUGAAACAAAUUAAACAAAUGUUCUAAAUAAAUGCAUAAAUGAUACUGUCUACAGUAUCGUAAUUUGCUACCUGUUGAGUUAUUAUCCUUUCAGUGAUUAGCAAUCUGUUUUUUUCACUUGUUCUAUUCUGUCUUGCUAGUGACAAGAAAGGAGCUGGGGACAUUUGAAUUAAUUGUGCAGAUGCGUUAGUAUUAAUCUUUAUGUAACUUGGAAUGUGCCUGAAUAUCAGGAAAGCUAUUUCCAUUGCUAUUUGUGGAGGGAGAAGAGUUGGCAGGAAAACUGAAUAAGAAAAUAGACUAAGAAAAAAUAUAUUUGAAUGAUAGCAAAUGAAAUUUAAGCUCAGCUUAACACAGGAUUUCCCUCUGGUAGGUAAGACCCGCGCAGCUUUAAAUCUUACUUAUGGCUCAGCCAGAUUGUGAAUAGAAAUGGGAAAGAGGGACUAGGGUGGGGGUGAAGAGUUUCAGUGAAUUUCCAAACUGCAAAAUGGAGGUACCUUCUAUCUGGACUGUAAGUGGAAUUUUGAGGAGGUUUAUCAAGAGUCUUCAAAAUCAUUUUUCUGGAACCAUCUUUGAGAUGACGAUCGGCAGGCAUCUCGUCUGACUGAUGUAAUCAGGAGAAGAGGGUUUCAGGCGUGACAGAAGGAAAUGAUCUGCAUUUAUAUGCUAGGCUGGGUGAUGGUGCAGGAUUCCUGUGCAUAAAAUAAUCAUUUGGACAACAGUCCUCAUUUCCGGACUGAGGAGAGGAUAGCAGAAAAGCCUGCAAACUAUAUGCUUGGAAAUCCUCUCGGCUGAAAAGCUUCUAAUGGAAUAUAACAUUUACGAUAAGUCUCUCCUCCAAGUUUAGUAUCUUUUUGUUAUUAACACUGCUUGGGAAGAUGUGGUUAGUUUAAUGUUCUGAUUAACAACAAUGAUGAGUUUGCCAAUUUUCACAUAGGGAAACAGCAUUCGUAAUAGAGUAUGAAGAUCGUGUGCCGAGCAUUUUAAUGACCGUUCAUCAUAAACGUAGUUACAUGUUCAGAAGGAGAAACGUUGAAAAGGGACGUAGUCAUAAUUGUCAAACCGAUGUUUUUUUGGCAUACAGCUGAAUCAAAUGCUUACGUGGUUAAUUUCUGUGCACUAAACCAAAUUUGACUGGUGUUUGAGGCCCUGCUGUGAAGUAGGGGCUGUAUCUGUCCCAUCUUUGCGUCCCGGGGUCUUGUACCGUGUUGGCAAGUAGCAAGGGCUCCAUCAAUGAUUGCUAAGCAGCGUAAAUAAUUUUAAACCAUUGAAAACCCCAAGCCUGAUGCUAGCCAGUAAUUCCAACCACAUUUCCUACAAAAUCUUUUAUUCAUGCGCUCGAUACCUGUUUCAAUCGACUAGUUGGCAUUUUAUCUCUUUUUGACUCCGUAUUUAUGAAGGCUUUGAAUCAAUUAUUUUGUUCUUGAAAUUAUUUUUGGUGCCAAUAUACUUGACAGAGGCCCAAAAGCAGUAUCCAAGGAGCAGUCUGUGAGUGAAUAUGUCUACCUGCCAAAUUCAAAGGAUACAACGUCCCAACCCUCCAAGGCUACAAACCCGCAGGGAUACCAUACAAACUUGUAUGCGGGUUGAAGCUGCCACCUACCCGGGUUGAUCCCCAACUGGCAUUGCCGGGGGCCUAAAAGGACACCUGUUUCCUUGAGUUGCUCAUGGGUCCACGGUGAGUCUUCUGAGGUCAUUACUAAUAACAAAGCCCAGAAAGACUCCUUCCCCCUGACAGUCUCGGCCAUGUGUAGGUGAGAGCCCAAGUAUCUUACAUGAGUCCCGUGGUUCACAUUCUUUAUUUCAAAGGAGAGAAAGGUGAUCUGAUGACUGAAGUGGGUGUCCACGCCAAUGUAACCGAACACCCAACACCAAAAAAAAAAACAACUCUGCUUAAACAAACAAACCAAAACCAAAACCAACACCUUCCUGAGAUCUUAGUUUGUAAUAAAGGCAUCAUCUUUAUUUGCCUGUUUUUAGUAGCGAGGUGAGGCAGUAUAAGUUCUGGGAGCACCGGGAUCCUUCCUAUUUUGCUCAUGUUCUCAGUGGUAACAGAGUGCCGGACACACAGUGGGUGCUCAAGCAAUAUUUGUCGAAUGAAUGGUAGACGGGGUGAGAAAAAUGUGAAGACAGUGCUGGGUAUAUGGCUUUAUAGCCAACACUCAGAUAUUUUUUCCUUCUUUUCGUGGAUAUGUUUUCUCUCAUCUUUCAAGCCUCUUUUUGGCAUAUUGUGUAUGCCCCGUGGUAGACACUAGGGGACACACGACAAAGACUGAGAAGAUUAGCAGUCAUUGGACGAGUCCCUCGUUAGUCUUCGUUCACCGACUUCUUUAUUCACUUAACAAUCAUUUGUUCUUUUUACAAAAUAUGGCUUUACCAUUGGAUGCUGUUUCUGAAACGAGUCCUGUUUCCAAUGUUAUCCUCUAAUGCACCUUGCAGUUUAGAAGCAAAGACCGAACAGUUAAAGAUAGGGAGAAGAAUCUAAACUGAUCAAAAAGGUGUAAUAAUAUGGACCAUUAAUCCCUAGAAGUAGAGUAUUCCACUGUGGAGUAUUAAAUUAGAGAAAGGCCAGGUCUAAUAAGUAUCAGCUUAGAUACUGUCAAAGAAAAAUUGCUGAAACCAACUUGGCUAAAGGAAGAUUUAGCCAUAAGAUCUUUUGAGAGUAAAAAUUUGAGGAGACAAUAUAAAAAUGGAACCGUUAGCUGAGUUCACUCAUUGCCACAGUUAAUAUAAACAGUUAUUACGCUGCGUGACCUCAAGCCCAGGAAAACAGACUCUUUUAGAUUUGCAGUUUCAGAUUACCUUUAUGCCUAAUCCAUUUAAAAGCAUAACACAUUUCAAUUAACCAACAUCAAAUACUCCUUAAUGAAUAUAAACCAUUCAGGAAGAAAACAUGAGUCCUAAUAUAUUCCAGUUGGAAAUGGGAAGGCAUGUUGAAGUCAUUUUGUCCAAAUCUCCUAUCUUCUAGACAGGAAAUUGAGGUGAAGACAGGUCAAGUGACUGAUUCAGUGUCACACAAUUAGGGCACAUAACUUCUACUAUAGUAUUCUUCACACUAUAUAGUCAUACUUCCAUUGAACAUCAAUAAAUUAUCUUCCUGGCACAAGGCGAUCUGGUCAGAUUUUUGAAGGGUUCAAGUUAACUCUGUGUGUUGAGCAUAUACCCAUACAGACCCUCAAGACCGAGGCUCCCCCAAAUCACAAUCAACUGGAAUCUACCUGAACCCUACCUCCAGACAGUGUUUGUUUGAAUACAACAAAUGUGAUAAGUUUGAUGACUGUCUGAAUUUAAAUUUGGAUGGCUUGAAGACUGACUUAUGUCCCUGUAGUACACGAUUGAUAGCAAAUCAGUAAGAGAGAAUCAGUAAGUAGAAAGCAGUAAGAGAAACCAAAUGCUUCUCAUCCUUGAGACAAGCGUAUGGCAUAAUUAUUCUCCUUUGUUUAUUUACUGCCAUUGAAGGGUGUUACAGAUGAGGAAACUGAAGCCCAAGGAAGGUCUUGAAAUCAUUUAAGUGACACAGCUGUCAUUCAAGUCUAGUGUGUGGUCUCCUCCCAUGAUGGUCAAUUUUAUGUAUCACCUUGGCUAGGCUACAGUGACCCGUUGUUUGGUCAAACACCAGCCAUGAUGUUGCCAUGAAGGUAUUUUUUAGAUGUGAUAGAUUUGUAAAUGAGACUUUGGAGAAAGAAGAUUACCUACUGUGGUGUGGGUGGGCCUCAUUAGUUCUAGCUGAAGACCUUAAGAGCAAAGACUGAGGGACACGGCUUAGUUGGUUAAGUGUCCAAUUCCUGAUUUUGGCUUAGGUCAUGAUCUCAUGGGUUUAUGAGUUCGAGCCUUGUGUUGGGCUUUGUGCUGACAGUUCAGAGCCUGCUUGCGAUUCUCUCUCUCUCUCUCUCUCUCUC